rnacentral:rRNA from 1 species
GUAAGGACGCGUAGGCGGGAAGCCAAGUCUGAUGUGAAAUCCUAUGGUUAACCAUAGAACUGCAUUGGAAACUGGUUACCUAGAGUAUGGGAGGGGGAGAUGGAAUUAGUGGUGUAGGGGUAAAAUCCGUAGAUAUCACUAGGAAUACCGAAAGCGAAGGCGAUCUCCUGGAACAAUACUGACGCUAAGGCGUGAAAGCGUGGGGAGCAAACGGGAUUAGAUACCCCGGUAGUCCACGCCCUAAACGAUGUUCACUAGUCGUCGGAAUGCUAGUCAUUUCGGUGAUGCACUUAACAGAUUAAGUGAACCGCCUGGGGAGUACGGUCGCAAGAUUAAAACUCAAAGGAAUAGACGGGGACCCGCACAAGUGGUGGAGCAUGUGGUUUAAUUCGAAGAUACGCGAAGAACCUUACCUAGCCUUGACAUUGAAGAAACACUUUAGAGAUAGAGUGGUGCCCUUCGGGGAAUCUGAAAACAGGUGCUGCACGGCUGUCGUCAGCUCGUGUCGUGAGAUGUUGGGUUAAGUCCCGCAACGAGCGCAACCCUCGUCCUUAGUUGCCAGCAGGUUAAGCUGGGCACUUUAAGGAGACUGCCUUCGCAAGGAGGAGGAAGGUGAGGACGACGUCAAGUCAUCAUGGCCCUUAUGGCUAGGGCUACACACGUGCUACAAUGGGGCGUACAGAGAGUUGCGAUACCGCGAGGUGGAGCCAAUCUCAUAAAGCGUCUCUCAGUUCGGAUUGGAGUCUGCAACUCGACUCCAUGAAGCUGGAAUCACUAGUAAUCGUAGAUCAGCAAUGCUACGGUGAAUACGUU